GGGGUCAGCACCGGCGGGAGGCCGCUCCCUGCGCGGAGCGGGACCGGGCUCCCUCCGUCCUGUCUCCGGCCCUUCCUUCCUCCCUUCCUUCCUUCCUUCCUCUCUUCCUCCUGGCCGCGACCUCCGUCCCGGCGGGGAGAAGGGAGCGCGGGCAGGGGCGGGUGAGCGAGGCCCGCGCCGGCCGCUCUCCCCGAGGUGCCUUUUCCCGCGCCAUGUUGUGGCGGCGCUUCUUCAGGGCCGCCGUCGUUUCCAUCCGCCCCGUCGCUGAACGAGGGAAAACGGCGGCGUGAGGACAUGGCUGGGCCCCGGCGGACCCCCCUGUGCGGGGCGAGGAGGAGGAAGGUGCCCCUGGAGCCUGGCAGAAGACAAAAGGUGAAGUGAAAAAGACUUCCUGCCUUGAAGAAUUGAGGAGAAAGCAUUGUGAUGUGGCAGACCCAGGAGGUCCCAAAGACCUGAGAGAACAGGACUGAGUUCAGGAAGUUGCUUCAGAUGUUGAAGAUCAUGCCUUGGGUUUUAGAAUUUUCUAGCAAACUUGGCUACAGCAAGAGAAACAGGUGGCAGCGUCUGCACUCGAAGAUUUGUAGACUCCUAAAACUUGACCUUUUCUCAUACAUGGGUUUGAGCACUCCGCAGCCACUCGGAGUGCGUGCGAUGCUGUUUGUGGUUCUGAUUGUUUGCCUCAGCCUGUGUACUUGAAUGUCAGUUUAAAAAAAAAAAACUUGGAGCUGUUCUGCUCCUAAGUGUCCUUUCUGCUUUUGUUCCUUUACUGCUGUUGAAAGCUGCAAGAAUUGUAAGCUUGCCCUUCUCUGAGUCAUCUCGGCUCAUGUGCUGUUUUCACAGCCAUAUUCCAAAGCACUGUUGUUUGGAUCUGUUUUCUCUACAUGGUUAAGAAGGAUUAAAAAAAAAAAAAAAAAAAAAAAAAAAA